GACGAACGCUGGCGGCGUGCUUAACACAUGCAAGUCGAACGGUGAAGCUCCAGCUUGCUGGAGUGGAUCAGUGGCGAACGGGUGAGUAACACGUGAGCAACCUGCCCCUGACUCUGGAAUAAGCGCUGGAAACGGCGUCUAAUACUGGAUACGAGAAGGGUCCGCAUGGGCACUUUCUGGAAAGUUUUUCGGUUGGGGAUGGGCUCGCGGCCUAUCAGCUUGUUGGUGAGGUAAUGGCUCACCAAGGCGACGACGGGUAGCCGGCUUGAGAGGGCGACCGGCCACACUGGGACUGAGACACGGCCCAGACUCCUACGGGAGGCAGCAGUGGGGAAUAUUGCACAAUGGGCGAAAGCCUGAUGCAGCGACGCCGCGUGAGGGAUGACGGCCUUCGGGUUGUAAACCUCUUUCAGCAGGGAAGAAGCGAAAGUGACGGUACCUGCAGAAGAAGCACCGGCUAACUACGUG
rnacentral:rRNA from 1 species